GGCACGAAUGCCGAUGGAACUACAUGGUCUUAGGAACCCGAGGUCGUGGGUUCGAAUCCCACCGGCUCCACUUGUGAUACAACACACGGGGCCGUAGCUCAGCCUGGCAGAGCGCGUAGCAGGUUUCAUCAACUUUGUCGUGUCGCG
rnacentral:Y_RNA from 1 species